rnacentral:rRNA from 1 species
UACGAAGGGGGCUAGCGUUGCUCGGAAUUACUGGGCGUAAAGGGCGCGUAGGCGGCCCGCUAAGUCGAACGUGAAAUCCCCAGGCUCAACCUGGGAACUGCGUCCGAUACUGGCAGGCUUGAAUCCGGGAGAGGGAUGUGGAAUUCCAGGUGUAGCGGUGAAAUGCGUAGAUAUCUGGAGGAACACCGGUGGCGAAGGCGGAUCUCUGGGCCUGUUCUGACGCUGAGGCGCGAAAGCUAGGGGAGCGAACGAGG